UAUCACCCAACCGGCUGCCGUGACGCCAUGCCGGGCAGCGAGGGCAGAGCUUCUGGGCUCAGAAUGUCAAGAGUUCAGACAAUGCCUCGUUUGACUCUGCUGCAGGUGCUUUGCUGCUGCCGCCACUGCCUGUAAGAUCCACCGAGUUUAGAAAAACCACCGCUAUGAAUAGUCCUAGCUGCAUAGUAACUUCCCAGCAGCGUGGUGACUGGCAGACUGCGAUCCACAAGUGGCAGAAGCGGCGGAGGGCGCGGGGAGGGGGGGGGGUUCACCCCUUCCCCUGGUGUCUUUGGAGGUGGAUCAGAAGCACGAGUCUGUACACGACACCUGACAAAAGACAAUCUUCACAAGCCAGGAUCUCAGCCACGGCAGUCUUCGGUCGCAGUCCCCAUAAGGAGUCUGAGGGCUUGCGUGGGAGAAUCCCAUCUGGAGUGCCCACACACAGUGAGCCCAGAGUGAGGUGGAGCUUCUUUGCAGGUGCUAAAUGACAAGCUGGAAGGGAAACAGAAAGGGUUAAUUGGAAAGUGAAGCCUCUUUGUCCCUGCCCCACCCUCUCUGCAGAUCUAGAUCUCUGGACUGUUUCCUGCUAAGGUGGUUCGGACAGUUGCCUCCAGGAAAACAUGGAGCUCCCAAAUUGAAUGCCUGCUGUUGUGGCCUGAUGUCUGUGUUGUUUCGGUUGCCAACUUCCAGGUGGGGCCUGGAGAUUUCCCAGAAUUACAACUGAGCAGACGUGUAGCAGCAAUGGGGACAUCUGGGGCAGCUUGUUCCGGGCACCGCCAUUGCCAUUAGGGGGCGGGGCAUGUUGAGGAGGGGGUGGGAGGGCAGCUCAUGUGCAGUUCCCCCUCCCUUUGUCACUGCAACUGAGCCCCAGACUACACAGAUCAGUCCCCCUGGAGAAAAUGGCUGGAUUGAGAGGGUGGAGUCUAAGGCAUUUAUACCCCACUGAGGCCCCUCCCCAAACUAGCAUGGCCAGCUCCAGCUUGGGAAAUUCAGCAACAGUGAAAGCUACAGGCAAAAGAAGCACGGUUCACUGUGGGCAGAGGCCGUCCAAGUGAGGGCACAGGUCCUUUCCCCCUGCCGUCACUGCCCAGGCAAGGCUGCUGUGCUCUGUUGGGAUCAAGCAUAUGUUUGCGCUUAGGCUGACACUGCGUCAUUCGGCUGGUGUGUAUGUUGUGUGUGUGUGAGCGUGUGUUCGUAGACUUCAAGUAAACAAGGGCUGCUUGUAUAAAUUGAAUCCUGCCUGGCUUUGGACUUGGAAAGCUGUUUGAGGCAGCCUGCAUAGCAAACCCUAUCAAAGGCCUGGACGUCUUUGGCCUUCCCUGCUUCAUGACGAUGUAAACCAAGAAGGGGCAGACAACUCAUGCCCGGAGAAAUCUAAGGAGGCAUCGCCAAAGGAGUUUGCUUUUGGAGUUUGCACCAUUAAGGGGAAGACAAAAGAGAAUGUUAGGCAGGGAGGCCUGAGAAGACGUCUAGACCAGGAGAACCUAACACAUGUCUGUAUUCACAUGGACUUCUAUAGACACUUUUACCAUACUUUUAACAUUUAAUAAAAUUAACC